rnacentral:rRNA from 1 species
AGUGAACGCUGGCGGUAGGCCUAACACAUGCAAGUCGAACGGCAGCACAGUAAGAGCUCGCUCUUACGGGUGGCGAGUGGCGGACGGGUGAGGAAUACAUCGGAAUCUACUUUUUCGUGGGGGAUAACGUAGGGAAACUUACGCUAAUACCGCAUACGACCUACGGGUGAAAGCAGGGGAUCUUCGGACCUUGCGCGAUUGAAUGAGCCGAUGUCGGAUUAGCUAGUUGGCGGGGUAAAGGCCCACCAAGGCGACGAUCCGUAGCUGGUCUGAGAGGAUGAUCAGCCACACUGGAACUGAGACACGGUCCAGACUCCUACGGGGGGCAGCAGUGGGGAAUAUUGGACAAUGGGCGCAAGCCUGAUCCAGCCAUACCGCGUGGGUGAAGAAGGCCUUCGGGUUGUAAAGCCCUUUUGUUGGGAAAGAAAAGCAGCAGGUUAAUACCCCGCUGUUCUGACGGUACCCAAAGAAUAAGCACCGGCUAACUUCGUG